GAUGAACGCUGGCGGCGUGCCUAAUACAUGCAAGUCGAGCGAACGGACGAGAAGCUUGCUUCUCUGAUGUUAGCGGCGGACGGGUGAGUAACACGUGGAUAACCUACCUAUAAGACUGGGAUAACUUCGGGAAACCGGAGCUAAUACCGGAUAAUAUUUUGAACCGCAUGGUUCAAAAGUGAAAGACGGUCUUGCUGUCACUUAUAGAUGGAUCCGCGCUGCAUUAGCUAGUUGGUAAGGUAACGGCUUACCAAGGCAACGAUGCAUAGCCGGCCUGAGAGGGUGAUCGGCCACACUGGAACUGAGACACGGUCCAGACUCCUACGGGAGGCAGCAGUAGGGAAUCUUCCGCAAUGGGCGAAAGCCUGACGGAGCAACGCCGCGUGAGUGAUGAAGGUCUUCGGAUCGUAAAACUCUGUUAUUAGGGAAGAACAUAUGUGUAAGUAACUGUGCACAUCUUGACGGUACCUAAUCAGAAAGCCACGGCUAACUACGUGCCAGCAGCCGCGGUAAUACGUAGGUGGCAAGCGUUAUCCGGAAUUAUUGGGCGUAAAGCGCGCGUAGGCGGUUUUUUAAGUCUGAUGUGAAAGCCCACGGCUCAACCGUGGAGGGUCAUUGGAAACUGGAAAACUUGAGUGCAGAAGAGGAAAGUGGAAUUCCAUGUGUAGCGGUGAAAUGCGCAGAGAUAUGGAGGAACACCAGUGGCGAAGGCGACUUUCUGGUCUGUAACUGACGCUGAUGUGCGAAAGCGUGGGGAUCAAACAGGAUUAGAUACCCUGGUAGUCCACGCCGUAAACGAUGAGUGCUAAGUGUUAGGGGGUUUCCGCCCCUUAGUGCUGCAGCUAACGCAUUAAGCACUCCGCCUGGGGAGUACGACCGCAAGGUUGAAACUCAAAGGAAUUGACGGGGACCCGCACAAGCGGUGGAGCAUGUGGUUUAAUUCGAAGCAACGCGAAGAACCUUACCAAAUCUUGACAUCCUCUGACCCCUCUAGAGAUAGAGUUUUCCCCUUCGGGGGACAGAGUGACAGGUGGUGCAUGGUUGUCGUCAGCUCGUGUCGUGAGAUGUUGGGUUAAGUCCCGCAACGAGCGCAACCCUUAAGCUUAGUUGCCAUCAUUAAGUUGGGCACUCUAAGUUGACUGCCGGUGACAAACCGGAGGAAGGUGGGGAUGACGUCAAAUCAUCAUGCCCCUUAUGAUUUGGGCUACACACGUGCUACAAUGGACAAUACAAAGGGCAGCGAAACCGCGAGGUCAAGCAAAUCCCAUAAAGUUGUUCUCAGUUCGGAUUGUAGUCUGCAACUCGACUACAUGAAGCUGGAAUCGCUAGUAAUCGUAGAUCAGCAUGCUACGGUGAAUACGUUCCCGGGUCU
rnacentral:rRNA from 1 species